GGGAAGGAGUGCAUAUAAGAGGUCCAUGGAGAGGCUUGGUGAGCGGUCUAAGGCUGUAGGAGAAGUACCAAGGACCCUGGAGAAGCGGCAGCAACCCCAGAAGGACUGUAGCCCACAGUGGGGAGCAAAAAGACAAAUCCCCUGAGUGAAUGUAGCUGCUUGAUUAUAUUCUGUGAUGCUUCCAUCUUGACACAAAUGAAUGAACUUUGUAUGCCCUGGGUAUGAAAGAGAUAUGGGCAAGGGGUGAGUGAAGAGUGAACGGGAGUUUGCAUGAGAAAAGGAGAGAGGCUGUAAUUGUUUUUGUAAGCAAUAAGGUGCCAGAGGAGUAAACCACCAGCCAGCAACUAACUAACAAACAGCUGAAGAAUCCCUUUGAAACUUGAGGGCACAAAGAUAACAAAAGCAAAAAUGCUGCCAUGUGGGCAACAAGAAAACUUCAAGGCUGAGACCCAUCUUUUACAACUGUAGUGACCUCGAUGUGAGAUAAGGAAAAGACGGAUGCGGAGCAGCUGCUAGAAACACAAACUAAACAUGGAAAAACACCAAGAAGUAAAACAGAGACUGAAAACUCUAUAUAAGGAAAACACAAAUGAUGCCAAGUUGGGUGAGAAAUCUUCUGUCUUCCUUCCAGAGCACAAGCGCGCCUGCUUCUCACCUCACUCCAGCUCACCACCAUCAUCAGCUACAACAUCUCAGCUACUCAGUGAACACUGGGUCAGCCACCCCAUGUUAACAGUGAGCAACUGUUGCUGGAGGAUCUCAACCAACUCAGGAUAUUAUAGACAUAUGCUGCCAUGGGAGGACACACUGAAGUAUAGAGGUGCCCAGGAUGGCUCACAGGUUGUAAAGUGAACAAUAUUGGAAGUCCAGAAAGAAGGUGCUCUGACCUAAUGGAAGCACAAGAAGAAUGGCAAGAGACCAAUGUGGCUGCAGAAGGAGCUUCUCGGAUGCCUUAAAUCCAAAAGGAAAAUAUACAGACAAUAGAAAGAUGGGCAGGUCACCAAGGAAUCUACCAGCAAAUAGUAAGGACUUGCAGAGACAAAAUCAAGGCAAAAAUAAAAUAUGAGCUUCAUUUGCCAAGGGAGGUUAAAAACAAGAAAAGAUUCUGUAAAUAUUUUGACUGAAAAAAAAUAAACUAAGGACGCUGUGGGUACACUGUUAAAUAACCAGGGUGAAUUCUUAACAGAAGAUACAAAGAAGACGCAGCAUCUCAACAGCUACAUUGGCUCAGUCUUCACAGAAAUAAUUAGGCUGCAACCAGAGAGUUUAUAAGGAUUAUUUGGACAAGGAAAGAGACAAACUGAGGGAUGAGAUAACAAAAAGGAACAGUCAGAGAGCUUUUGAUGGGUCUAAAUGAAUUCAAGUCAGCAGGACCUGACAAACUGCAUUCCAGGGUACUGAAGGAACUGGCAGGGGAGAUCUCAGAGCCUUUGGCAAUAAUAUUUAGAAAGUCAUUGUAGAUGUGGGAGGUACCAGAGGAGUGAAAAGGGCUAACAUAAUGCCCCUCUUUGAAAAAAGUAAAAAGGAAGACGUGGGGAACUAUAGGCUUGUUAGCCUCACCUUGAUACCUAGGAAGUUACUGGAGCAUAUCCUAAGAAAGUCCAUUUGCCAGUAUCUGCAGAAAUAAUGACUGAUCACAAACAGCCAGCAUGGAUUUACUAUCAACAUUUUUUGCCAAACAAACUUGAUCUCCUUCUUGGAGGAAAUAGCUAGUUGGGUGGGUGAAGGUAACACAGUGGAUAUAGUGCAUCUGGACUUCAAUAAGGCUUCUGACAAAGUCCCCUGUGAUUUUUCUCAUAAACAAAUUGGAGAAAUGCCAGCUAGACAAAAUGAUGACAAAGAGGAUAGAAACUGGCUCAAUAGUCAUAAACAAAAGGUAAUUAUAAAUGGAUUUGUGUCAGAAUGGCAGGAGGUUUUGAGUGGAGUCCUACAGAGGCCUGUAAUGGACUUGGUGCUGUUCAAUGUGCUUAUUAAUUACUUGGAUGCUCAAACAGAAAGCUUCUUAAGAAAAUGUGCAGGCAACAUGACAUUGGGGAGAAUUACAAAUACACUGGAGGACAGGAGCUCAAUUCAAAAGUAUCUUGACAGAUUGGAAAGCUGGGCUAGAGGCAACAAGAUGAAGCUCAGUGCUGACAAAUGCAAGGUGCUACACCUCAGAAAGAAUAAUCAAAAACACAAAUUCAAAAUGGGUGACACCUGGCUAGACAGCACUAUGUUGAAGAAUAUGGAGUCUUGGUGGAUCAUAGACACAAUCUAAUUCCACACAAAAAGCAAAUGCAGCUUUGGUCUACAUCACUACUAUCAUUAGAUGUGGGAGGCGAUAAUGCCUUGCUACUUGGUUCUGUUUAGGCAUAAUUUAAAGUACUGUGUGAAGUUUUAGGCUCCGCAUUUUAAAAAAAGGAUGUGGAGAAGAUACAGACAGUCCAGAGGCAAGCAACAAAAAAAAUAAAGCACUUGGAAGAAAAUUCAUACAAGGAAAUGUUGAAAGAAAUAGACAAGUUCAGCUUACAGAAAAGGUGCUUAAGAGGGGACAUAAUAGUAGCCUUCAAAUAUUUGAAGCACUGCUAUAGAGGAGAAAGGAAAAAAAAAAUUCUCUCUUGCUGCAGAUAGCAGUACAGACCAAUGGAUUGAACUUGUAGUAAAAUAGGGAAAACCUCAAUUUUAGAACAGUGAAGCAGCAGAAUAGACUGUUUAGGGAAGUUGUGGAAUCUCCAUCAUUGGAGGUGUUCAAGAAAAUGCUGGAUAAGUAUUGGUCAGGGAUGAUCUAGGAGUGGCUAUGCCUAUGAUAUACUAUGGAUAUUUUUCAUACUUCUGGGCUUUGAUUUUUGCUGCAUGGAACUAGGAAGAAUUUUUGUUCUUCUCUUGUUGCUAUAUAUCAGGGGUUUAUUUUUUUCACAGUCCUCAGAAGCAUUGGGUUUUAGCUGUAACCAAGACUAGGGAUUUUGACUGGGGUAUUCCUGUGUUCUUGCUGGGAUUAAAACCUGAAGGCUCUUGGCUGGAGGGUUUUGUCCACUAGCUCAUAGUCAGACUGAUCAACAUGUUUGGAGUCAGAAAGGAAUUUUACCCUAUAGUCAAUUGGCAUGGACUGUGGGGAGUUCUGUCUUCCUCUAGUGUUUCAGGCUGUUGUCUUGAAACCAAAAACCUGGCCUGUCUAGCAUAGCUGCUCACCCCAGUCUCUCACCCCUCCAAUACAGCAUGAGGGCAGAUGCAGGUGGUCUGAAACCUCUAGUUGAGCCUAGUCACACACCCACUUCCUGCCACCGGAGUGGCCAGCUGACCAUUCACCCCUUCUAAUAUAAAACCCUGAUGUGGAAAAAGAAGUGUCCGGGCAGCAAAGUUCAAUCCUGUAUUUAGGCUUCUACAUUCUUGAUUUAUGCUGCUACUGGCUCUGUGACAGAGCCUCUGGAUAUCUGACUUGGCAUGCCCAUGCACUAUGAGUUUGGCCUGGUCCUUUGGAUACAUAAUCCAAUUCUGGUUUGAUUUUCUGGAUACUUGAUCCAGCUAUCCUCCUGACCCUGCCUAAUCCUCUGGAUCUCUGACUUGGUUCCCUAGAUGGAUCUCCUGCUUCUAGCUUCCUUACAUUCUGACUUGACAUGCUCCUCUCAAAAGUUAGAUGCAUUUUCUGACCAUAAGGUAACUCCCAGAUCUGACUGCCUACUACCCGGAAUGACACACUGGGGGGCAUGGUCCUCUUACUUAGAUCUCUCAAACCAUAGGUGCUGACUUUAUUUUUCCUGGGUGGGGGGAAAGGCUUAAGGUGAUGGACAAGUGGAAAGUUUUAUGCAUUUCAGGUGACACGCCUCUUCCCAAGGGAGGUCAGGGCUCUCAGCCCCCCAUGUUCUCCACACAUAGGCAUACUUUAAUAACCAAUCUUUGAAGCAUUAGAACACUAAGUAUUGUCCCUCUGCUUUAUCUGCAGCAGAUUAGUGUGUUAAGUCUUGUGGUUGUGUAGUUUUAGUAAAAGGUUAAACAAAGAUGUGUAUGAGAUGGUUUGGAUAGGGAUGAUCCUGCCACAGGCAGGGCGUUAAACAUGAGGCUGUAGUUGGUUCCUUAUUCCUCAUUCCUGGUUCUUUUUUCAAAGCUAAUACUUACACAAUUAAAGGUUGUUAGUAAUGAAUUGUAGAAGCUAAAGCAGCAGAAUGUCAUCAGAAAGCUAUAUUUACUAAUUAAAAUGUAAAAUAAUAUAAUGUGUCGUGUAUAUAGCCUAACAUAAUCUCAGGUCUUCUUUCAAGGUUUAUGUGGCAAAAUCCUUUUUGGGUCAUUCCAAACUACACAUCUCUGCCAUCAGGGGACACAUCUGAAUACAUCUAAGUAGGCUGCUGCCUGAUGCAAAGCUCAGUUUUCAUAUCCCUGCCUCCCCACUGAUGGCCCCAAGGCCUGUGUGCUAUAUAUAAUACCACUGAAUAAGGAACUGUGUUUGGGUUGUGAUUACAGGUGAAAAUCCUUUUUCAGUCACCCCAAAGCACAAAACUCUCACUACGGGGGUUCUCCCAAAGAAGCUUGGGCAGGCCCCUGCUUGACCCAAAGCUCAGCUUUUGCAUGUCAAGCUGCCUACAGACAACCCUCAUGCCUGAAUAAGGAGCUGGGUUUGGCCUAGGAUCACUGGUGGGAACCCUUUUUGGGUCACCCCAAAGUACAUGUCUCCACUAUUGAGAGUCUCUUGAAGAAACCUGGUCAGAGUCCUGCCCAACCCAAAACUCAGUUUCUUCAUGGCAGACUUCCAACUCACAGACCCCACACCAAAACUCCUGUCUGUCUUAGCCUUGACACUGUCAGAGCCAGAUUUUUCUAGAUGCUUAAAACUGGGGGACAUCAGCCCUAGCUCUGAUUUCCAGCUAGAAAAAAAAAUGUUGCAAUUAUAUCUAGGUAGUGAGGAGUUCAGUUUCUAAAAGCAAACUGACGGUAAUUUAGAUGCAUCUCACCUUCUAGAAAUUCAUGUAUAAUAACAUGACUCCAAGAUCUCCUGUAGCACAUGACUUGGUAUGGGGUGGCGGGAUAACUUUUUUCAUGGUCUCUGUUUCUGGCCACCUGUCUUGCUGCUUUGAUCUUUGCAAUCCUUCUUCUCAUUUUGGUGCUGAACAUUGUUCUGUGGCUCUGCUACUAAUUUCUGGCAUGAAAAGGUAAGAAUAUUUCUCUGGAAAGAUGCAAAGGAAAGCAUUGAUUCUGAGGAGGAUAUAGUCAGUGCCUUUCUGCAUGAAUAGCAAUCGUUAGAGAAAUAGGGCUUCUGGAAGGCCAAGUCAAUUUGGAGCUACAUUGCUGGUAGGCUUCAUACAAACUGAAGUUUAGAAAAUGGUUCUCUAAUCUCUGGCCUGAGGACAGGAGGGAAUUAAAAUCUAAGACAUUAAAUACAGCUUUAGUGAAAACUUGUUAUGUGUGCAAGAAGUCUGAGGAUUAAAGGUCUUAUGUGCAAUAUGGCCACUGGAAUGAAUGGUUUCACCCUACCUCCUUAGGAUCUGCAACAUCCUGAGUAGUUUUAAACAUAACACCAUGCUUUUGUCCAGCAUGUGACACUGCACUGAACAAAAGUAGUUUUGGUGAAGCACCAGAUAAGACCAAAGGGUAUUCUUUUGAUUUGGAAUAGUUUCAAAACGUCCUGUUUUCCAGAAUCUGACAUUAUACUCAGGAAAGGCAGUGACAAUUCCCUUAAAUGCAUCAGUACAUCUGCUGCAUGGUAUGGUAAUCAGAUGAAUAAUGACGCCAAGAAAGAUUAUUUCCCAAAAUGAUCCAGAUGAUUUACUGCAAUGUAAGCAAAAAGAUUUUGUUUUUAAAUCUAUGGCUACUGUGCAAAGUACACCUGUAAGAGUAGAAAUUAAUAAGCAGUCAUCAGUCAGCAGUGACUCUGAAAGCAAGAGCAGCAAUUCAGAGGAAAUUGUGACCACAACGUUAUAGAAAAUGUUACAUACAGCGGUUCCUUUCCACAAGGAAGAUACUGCUUCAUGUCCAUCAAGGUUUAAUAUUAUUUUGUGCAAGGAUGCAUGAAAGCAAAUACAUCCCUCAUCACAAUUACCACUACAGAAUUUAAUAAAUGGAGGGUGCAUUUUGUCCAAAAAAAUUAAAAAAUGCAAUCAGCUGCAUAUUUUUGUCUUUAAACAUAAUCAUAUUAAGGAACAGAAAUCUAGAAAAAUGGAUUCUCUUUUUUGUAUGGAAAAGCAAAAUGAAAACUUGAUGGGUGUAUCUCGUUGUUUAUGGGCUAAGUACAGAGGUUCAAAAAACUUGAGACAAAAUCAUAGAAUCAUAGAAGUAGGGUUGGAAGGGCUCUUGUAGAUCUUCAAGUCCGACCCCCUGCGUGGGCAGGAGGAAAACUGGGCUCAGUAGACCCCAGUCAGGUAGGCAUCAAGCCGCUUCUUAAAGACCCCCAGGGUAGGAGCCAGCACCACUUCCCUUGGAAGUUGAUUCCAGAUCCUAGCCGCCCUAACUGUGAAGUAGUUCCUACGGAUGUCUAAUUUGAACCUACUCUCCAACAACUUGUGGCCGUUAUUCCUUGUUAUCCCAGGGGGCACUAGGGGAAACAAGGUCUCCCCCAAACCCUUCUGGUCCCCCCUAGUGAGUUUAUAGAUGGUCACCAGGCCCCCCCUCAGCCUUCUCUUGUGAAGGCUGAACAGGUUCAGGUUCCAUAGCCUCUCAUUGUAGGGUCUGCCCUGCUGUCCCCGGAUUAUGCGGGUGGCCCUCCUCUGGACCCUCUCAGUGUUGUCCACAUCUCUCUUAAAGUGGGGUGCCCAGAACUGGACACAGUACUCCAGCUGUGGCCUGACCAGUGUCGUGUAGAGGGGGAGGAUCACCUUCUUGGCCCUGCUUGAGAUACACCUGUGGAUGCAUGAUAGGGUCCGGUUAGCCCUGUCGACCGCGAACUCGCAUUGUUGGCCCAUGUACAUCUUGGAGUCAAUGAUGACUCCAAGAUCCCUUUCUGCCUCCGUGCUCUCAAGAAGGGAGUUUCCCAUCUUAUAAGUGUGCUGCUGGUUACUACUGCCCAAGUGCAGCACCCUGCACUUGUCCGUAUUGAAACGCAUCCUGUUUUUGUUAGCCCACUUCUACAACCUAUCCAGGUCUUGCUGUAGUCUUUCCCUCCCUACUAAUAUCCCCACCUCACCCCAAAUUUUGGUAUCAUCAGCAAAUUUGAACAGGUUGCUUUUCAUCCCAUCGUCCAAAUUGUUGAUAAAGAAAUUGAACAGUGCGGGCCCAAGGACCAAAUCCUGGGGGACUCUGCAGCCAACUUCCCUCCAGGUCGAAUAUGACCCAUCCACCACUACCCUCUGAGUAUGACCCUUCAGCCAAUUUGCAAUCCAUCUGACUGUGUAGGCAUCGAUGCCACAGUCGCUUAGUUUUUUAAUGAGGAUGGGGUGGGAGACAGUGUCAAAGGCCUUUCUGAGGUCCAGAAAGACUAUAUCCAUGGCGACACCUGCAUCCAAAGCUUUUUUGACCUGAUUGUAAAAGGCAAUCAGGUUGGUCUGACAUGACCUACCCCUAAUGAAACCGUGCUGGUUGCCCUUGAGCAUUAUCCCCAGUGCUGGCCCAUCACAUAUGUGCUCCUUGAUGAUCUUCUCAAAGAGUUUCCCCAGGAUUGAGGUAAGACUGACAGGUCUAUAGUUGCCCAGGUCCUCCCUCCUCCCUUUUUUAAAGAUGGGGACCACAUUGGCUAUCUUCCAAUCAUCUGGCACCUGGCCUGAGCACCAUGAGUGCUCGUAAAGCCAUGCCAAGGGCCCUGCAAUAACCCCUGCUAGCUCCCUCAACACCCUGGGACGGAGAGCGUCUGGGCCUGCUGAUUUGAACAUAUCCAGCCCCUCCAGAAGCACUCUAACCCGGUCCUCCUCAACCUUAGGUCUUGAGGCGUUCCCCUCGAGUCCAUCUUGAAUCACAGUGGGGGAGUCCCAGUCCCUGCACAAGAAAACAGGUGAAGAGUUUGUUAAAGAGGUCUGCCUUCUCCUCUGGCACAACUGCCAGAUUGCCCAGUGCAUCUUGCAGGAGCUCCAUAUUUCCCGGUGCCUUCUUCCUCCUCCCUAUAUAUUUGAAAAAGAACUUUAUAUUAUCUUUGAUCUUGGACGCUAGUCCUAGCUCUAUGUUCGCCUUAUCUUUCCUAAUAGCCCCCCUACAGGCCCGAGCAGUGGAGGUAUACUCUUCUUUGGAAAUAGCCCCCCCCCCCCCUCCACUGGGUGUAUACAGCCUUUUUGGCAACCAGGCAUUCCCAGACAACCUUGGUGAGCCAAGGAGGCUUUCAGGCACUCUUGCCCACCUUGCUUCUUGUUGGGAUUGUCACCCCUUGUGCCCUGAGUAUCGUCUCCUUAAGGAACGACCACUCAUCAUAGGCACUGAGUUCUCCUGCCCUCGAGAACCCCAGCACCUCUCCCACCAAUCUCCUCAACUCUUUAAAGUUGGCCCUCUUGAAGUUUAGGGCUACCGCCUUGCUGCAGGCCCUUGACACCCUGCGCUGGAUGGUGAAUUCCAGCAAGCAAUGAUUGCUAUCACCCAGGUGGUCAAGGACGUGGAGCCCCCUUAACAGAUCAUUGCCUGUGGCCAGGACCAGGUCCAACAGGGCAUUUACUCUGGUGGGACUGUGCACCUCCUGGGUUAAGUGGAGGUCCUGUAUCUCAGCCAGGAACCUCCUGGAAUGGUCUGACCUGGCUGACUGCUCCUCCCAGCAGAUGUCCGGGUAAUUUAGAUCACCCAUGACAACUACAUCCCUUGCCUUACGUGCCUCUGCAAGCUGGCCCUAAAAUUCCCGGUCCAGCUCCUCCCCUUGGUUGGGGGGUCUGUAGUAGACCCCCACCGUUAAAUCCCUUUCCCUAUGACCCCCUUGUAUCUUGCCCCAGAGCACUUCAGCUUGCCCCUCCUCCGACCCCAUUUUGCUGGCAGAGGAUGUGUAUUGCUCUUUGACAUAGAGCGCCACACCCCCUCCCUUCCUUCCUUCUCUAUCCCGCUUGUAGAACCUAUAGCCCCUAAUGCUAACUGCUGGGAUGAAUCCCACCACGUUUCUAUAAUCUCUACUAUGUCUGGGUUAGAACUGGCUAUUCUGACGGUGAGUUCCUCCUGUUUGUUCCCCAUACUACGAGCAUUGGUAUACAGGCAUUUAAGGCCUUGCAUAGCUGCGUGUGCCACCCCCCAAUUAGGAAGACUAUCUGGACCCCUGCUUCUUACCUCAAUCUUUGCAGUUUUUAUAAGCUGCCUAGACUGAUCUGGUAAUAAACUGAACUAACAUUUAGCGUUUGGGUGGCCAAGACAGGCAGAAGCCUGCACUGGCUCAGGCCAAGAGCCUGUGGGCACUUGUGUACUUCACAUCAUGGCCCUGAACCAGCAGCUCAGACCUGAUCGGCAGCUGGGGUCUGGAGGUGGGGAGAGGUAGGAAGUACCCACUAGAGGUCAUCCCCCUACUGCUAGGUGGGCAGGGUUCACUCCAGACCCACCCCUUCCCCAGCCCUCUGCCUCUGAGAGUGGCGGGGUAAGGUGCAAGGGAGAACACACCAAACACUCAUUUGCAACUGCCCGCCCUCCCCCCACCCAGCUGGGAUCUGCUGAACCUGGGGGAGAAGCAUCUAUGGGGAGAGGUCUUCACUGAUCUCCACAGCUCAAGCCAGAGUGAGAUCAACCCAACAUCACCCCUUCCUCAGUCCUCUGUCCCUGGGGGAGGGGGUAGGAGGGACUGUAGGAACCCCACCCAGCUGACAUCUGCUUGGCACAGAGGGGGAAGCACCCAUCUGUGGGCUUUUCAUCUCCCUGCAGCUUGGAGCUGGUCUGGGGUAGUCUCAGCCCCACUCCUUCUUGAGCCAAGAGAGGUCAGGGCUGAGACUAUCCCCCUUGGCAUGGCUUUACGAGCGCUCGUGGUUCUCGGGCCACAUGUCAGUCUUAUGGUCCACUACCCCUAACCUGGUGUUUGUUCUGUAGCUGAGUAAGCCAGCUCGAGUUUCCCCAGCCCUUGUGUGUGUGUUCCCCCUCCCCGCACAUUCUCAAAGCAUAGGCCUCCUGGUUCUUUUUUUUGUGUGUGGCUGUGGCUCAGUGAGCUUCAGUUCCCUUCCUCCCUAUCCCCUUUCUGCCCCACAACCCCAGCCUACCCCUACUAGAUUCACCAGCCCCAUGGGAUAUUUUGUUUUUCUUUAUUGUCUUCCUUGCCCUCAUGUGAAACAAUGAAAGGGGUGACCCCAGGAAAGAUCAAAUGGGUGAUUCUCAUGGAAGAAGUUUCCCAAUCCCAACCAGAGUCUGGGGUUUUAGUGGAUCAAGGGGUCCAGAUGGUGCUGGAAGAGCCCUCUGAGUUCCAGGACCAGGAGGAGGAUGUCUGCAAACCAGCAGACUUCAUGGAGCCUGCAGACAUCUUGGUCCCAGCAGUCCCCAGGAAUGAGCUACUUGCAUUUCUUGACUGUGACUACACCCGCCGGUCUGCCAGCAAGGUACAGCUAGCCUUGGACCGCUGGAAGAUUGUGAUAGCAUCCUCACCACUGCAAGGGCACUGGUGGGGGAAGGCAAGGGGCCCAAAAGCUGCAACAUCCAGAUCUAUAGGGUGGGCCCGCAGUUUCAUAGAUGCCCUCUUAGCAGGGGGGAGGUUACCCCAUGGUAUUUUUGCCGGAGACCCUGAUGACUCCAGCUGAUGAACCAAACUGGUGGCUGGAAUGGGGAGGCAGGGUGUCUUUUAGUAAUCUCUCAGCCACCUCAUCUGGGGUGGCCACCCUGUUUUCCCCAGGCCUGCAGCUGGAGGUUCUCCAGGACGUUGAGGUGGUGCAAGGCUGCCUGCUGCACCUCCGGGUCCAGGUGCAGGGGCUGGCCCUGAACCUUCUGAAUGUGUAUACCCCUGCAAAGGACCCAAAGUUGGUGGAUUUCUUCCACCAGGUGGCCACAUACAUCAGCUCCCUAACCCCUAUGAGUGCCUGGUCCUUGGCGGGGACGUUAUUGUCACCCUAGAUGUGCAAGACUGGUCAGGCAAGGAAUGGGAUCAGGCUGCCAUGGGCGUCCUCAGAGAGAUCCUCAUGGACUACUCCAUUGUGGAUAUCUGGCAUGCCUGUCACCCCACUGAACCCCCUGCCUUCACUUAUGUGAGGGUGGGGGAGGAGCAGGCAUGCCACUCCCAGUUAGACCGGGUAUAUAUCUCUUUGCCACACUUUGCCCAGGCCCAUUCUCUGGCAUCCAGCUGACCCCUUUCAGCGAGCACCACUUUGUCUGGGCUCAGGCCACGCUGGGGUCUGGGUGUCUGGGGUCAGCCUACUGGCAUUUCAAUGUUGGCCUUCUAGAGGAUGGGGGAUUCAGGGAGGCUUUCUGGGAGUUCUGACUAGCCUGGUGGGUGCAACGGGCAGCUUUCCCCUUGUCUCGGAGAUGGUGGGAUGUGGGGAAGGUGCGCAUCUGGCUUUUUUGCCAUGGCUACACUUGGGGGCACACCUGGCAGAGGGAGGUGCUCCAAGAGCAGCUUGAGUGGGAAGUGUUAGAGCUGAAGAGGCAGCUGGCCACCAACCCAAACAACCCAUCCCUCUGUUGAGAGUGUUGGGAGAGGGGGGAAGAGCUUUGUGCUCUGGAUGACCACCACACCCGUGGUGCAUUUGUCUGCUCACGCGUCCAGUUCCUUCGGGAGAUGGACCACAGCUCCCGCUUCUUCUAUACCCUGGAGAGGAGGCAGGGGGCCAAGAAGUACAUCACCUUCCUUCUGGCAGGUGAUGGCACCCCCGUCACGGAUCCAGGUGAGAUGCACCAGCACACGCAGGCCUUCUAUGAAGAGCUCUUCUCCCUGGAUCUGACCCAUUCUGAGGCCUGCCAGAUCUUGUGGGAGGGACUCCUGCAGGUCAGCAUGGGUGACUGGGACCAGCUGGAAGCUCCUCUUGCUCUGGCUGAGUUUUCAGCUGCCUUCCGCCUGAUGCCUGGCAACAAGGCACCGGGCAUUGAUGGUCUGACCUCAGAGUUCUACCAGGCUUUCUGGGACAUCUUUGGCCUGGAUUUUGCUGCAGUCUGGGCUAAAUCCAAGGGAAGUAGGGAGCUACCCCUGUCAUGCUGGAGGGCCGGGCUGACCCUCCCGCUGAUGAAGGGAGAUUCCCUGUGACCUAAGGAAUUGGUGUCCAGUGUCCCUCCUCUGCACGGACUACAAAGUGGUAGUGAAGGCCAUCUUGCUGCACCUGUGGUCCAUGCUGACAGACAUGAUCCAUCCUGACCAGAUGUACACGGUACCCAGAUGUUCCAUUUUUGACAACCUGUACCUGGUUCGGGACCUCCUGGAGCUAGCACACUGGGAGAGCCUGACUUUCACCCUCCUAUCCCUGGACCAGGAGAAGGCAUUUGACAGAGUGGAUCAUGGGUACUUCACAAACAUGCUGUGGGCCUUUGGCUUUGGGCCUCACUCUGGCCUGGUGGUGGGUGAUGGGUGGCAGGUGGGCUCACUCCCACCCGUGCUCCAUGAGAUACACUGAGGCAUAGGCUUGCUGCUCUACUUGGGGGUCUACUUAUCCCCCACAGACCCCUCCCUGCCAGAGAACUGACACCAGCUGCAGGCAAGGGUGAUGGAGUGGCUCCAGGCAUGGACAGGGGUCCUGCAAUGUCUCUUCCUCCAUGGGAGAGUGCUGGUGCUGAACCAGCUGGUCCUGUCCACCCUCUGGCACUGCUUACACACCCUGCCUGUGGCCCCUGAGAUCCUAGUGGGACUCCAGAGAUGGCACUGGAGUUUUUCUGGCCAGGAUGGCGCUGGGUCACUGCAGAGGUCCUGAGCCUCCCCUUGUGGGAGAGCAGCCAGGGCCUGGUUUGCCUGCACAGCCAGGUCUUGGCAUUCUGCCUUCAAGCCCUGCAGGGACUGCUGUAUGGUGUUGGCAGCCAUGCAGCCUGGGGCCACCUGGGGCACACUUUCCUCUGCCACUUCCAGGGGCUCUGAUAUGACUGGAAGCUCCUCAGCUUGUGGAGCUUCUCCCUAUAGGACCUGUGAGGGCUUCCAGAUUUCUACCAGGACCUCCUCCAUGCCUGGAGGUUGGUCUCUGCCUGCAGGUCCCCUGCAACAGUCGCCCAGGGUGCCAACCUGCUUGUCGAGCCCCUCCUCUGGAGCACCCAGCUGGAGGUGCCAAUGGCAGGGUUGCUGCAGUUGUGACAGAGGUUGAUCCUGGCUGGUGUCACCCAUAUUGGAGACCUCCUGGACUAAAAUAGGCAGGAGUGGGUGUACCCCUCUGCACUGGCCUGGUGUAUGGGUCUACCCUUGACAUGUGCAACCUGCCGUCUGGUCCAGGAGGUGAAAUCUGCCCUACCUCCCGAUGCCCUUGCCUUUGUUGGCCAGGUCCUGUGCGAUGGCAGUCCCCACCCCUCCACGCCCUGCCUGUGUCCUCCAGCCCACCAGAAUUUUCGUGGAGCCAGUGCCUCACCCGGCUUCACAGUGCUCCCUGCUCCAACACUUGAUCCAGCUGGAGGACACCAGAUCAGUCCACUUUUUCACCAUCCAUCACCAUCACCUGUACACAUUCAUGGACCGCACUGUCCAUCAUGCCUCGUGUCCCAUCCAGACACCAAAUGGCAGGACCUGCUCAGCAAGGGUGUGGCUGGGACACCCCCAUGGCUGAGUCUGUACUCCACCCUCAUCCCACAAGCCACUGGCGACCUCAGCUGGUGGGUCCUCCAUGGUGCCAUCACCAUGGGUGUGUAUGUGGUGAGUUUCAUGGACACCCUGGUCUCCUGCCCCUUCUGCAGGCUGAGGGAGACCCUCGUGCACAUGACCCUCAAGUGUACCAGGCUGAAGCCCUUCCACCUCCACCUCCACCUCCAGAGCCUCCUCUUGAGGUUUUGGUUGAAUUUCACCCUGCACCUUUUUCUUCCAUCUGCAGCCCCACCAGGUCCUGGGACCUCCUGGUCAACCUCUUCCUGGCCAAGUGGGCCCUGUAUUUGACCAGCAAGGAUGCUCUGGCUGGGAAGGUGCCCAGAGACUGCAGGGCCACUUUUCUCUCACUUGUCCACGCAGCUCUUCCUUCGAUGCCUUUGAGGACUGGUGAGUGUGGCCCAGGAGGCUCUGCUCAGUGUCCCCCUCAGGUGCACUUAUUUUCAUGUUUUGACCCUUCAACCCACACAACAUUCCUAUCCUGGAUUUUUCAUUAGUUGUUCCAACUAUUUUGUUGUUUCAUACAUCCAUUAGCCCCAUACAUUAGGAGCUAUUAGUUAGCCGUGUGGGCCUCAGGGUCCACUAUAAUUGAGUGAUGCAAAUAAUCAGGAGCUGCUGGGGCCCAGCCAAUUGGUACCUGGGGGCACUACCCCUUGUGCCAGCUGGACUGCUGCAGCAGCAGCAGCAUCCCAAAUCCAUUUUUAAAAAUACCCCAAAAUACAUGUUCUCACACAAUUAAAGCAAAAGACCACUCUACACACACACACACACAAAUAUAUAUAUAUAUCUAUAGUGAGAGAGAGACAGCAAUCAGUUGGGCAAUGCUUUAUUGGUAUAUUUACAAUGUUAAAGCAAUUUGCCUACCAGUAUCUCUAUCAUCAUGAUAAAAUAAAUUCUAAAUACCUAUAUGUGUUGAUGUGUGGUUUUGGUUUUCUUUGCACAUGAUGGGUGUGUGAUGGGGGGACGUGGUGUUUGCAGAAAGGGGG